rnacentral:rRNA from 1 species
GACAUGUCAGAGAUCCCUGAGAGAUUGGGGAGUGCCGCAAGGAAUCUGAACACAGGUGCUGCAUGGCUGUCGUCAGCUCGUGUCGUGAGAUGUUGGGUUAAGUCCCGCAACGAGCGCAACCCUUGUCGUUAAUUGCCAUCAUUUGGUUGGGCACUUUAACGAGACUGCCGGUGACAAACCGGAGGAAGGUGGGGAUGACGUCAAGUCCUCAUGGCCCUUAUGGGUAGGGCUUCACACGUCAUACAAUGGUCGGUACAGAGGGUUGCGAAGCCGCGAGGUGGAGCCAAUCCCAGAAAGCCGAUCGUAGUCCGGAUUGGAGGCUGCAACUCGCCUCCAUGAAGUCGGAAUCGCUAGUAAUCGCGGAUCAGCAUGUCGCGGUGAAUACGUUCCCGGGUCUUGUACACACCGCCCGUCACACCAUGGGAGUGGGUUCUGCCAGAAGUAGGUAGCUUAACCGCAAGGAGGGCGCUUACCACGGCAGGGUUCAUGACUGGGGUGAAGUCG